rnacentral:sRNA from 1 species
AAGAACCGACUUGCUU